CUGUGGCUGUAGCUCAGAGGUAGAGCACUUGCCUAGCAUGCAUGAGGCCCUGAGUUCAGUACCUCAUACCACAAA
rnacentral:tRNA from 1 species